rnacentral:rRNA from 1 species
UUGAAAGCUGGCGGGAGGCUUAACACAUGCAAGUCGAGCGGGGAAGGGUAGCUUGCUACGUGACCUAGCGGCGGACGGGUGAGUAAUGCUUAGGAAUCUGCCUAUUAGUGGGGGACAACAUUCCGAAAGGAAUGCUAAUACCGCAUACGCCCUACGGGGGAAAGCAGGGGAUCUUCGGACCUUGCGCUAAUAGAUGAGCCUAAGUCAGAUUAGCUAGUUGGAGGGGUAAAGGCCUACCAAGGCGACGAUCUGUAG